GUUAGCCUGUGUUCACAGAAAGCCAACGGGCUGGAGAGUUAAUGUCCCCAAAGCAUCCCCCAAAGUCCUGAUGGAAAAGAAAGCAUCCUGGUCCUCUCUGCUGUUAUUGGGUGCACAAUUCCACUGUUCUCUGCAUUUGGUAGAAUGCAGACAUCCAGGUCAUCGCUAUAGCAACUCUUCACAAAACUAGAAAAGAAAGACAAACCCACUGCCAGAUAAACUAAGUAACAG